rnacentral:rRNA from 1 species
UACGUAGGUGGCGAGCGUUGUCCGGAAUUACUGGGUGUAAAGGGCGUGUAGGCGGGAAAAUAAGUCAGAUGUGAAAUUCCACGGCUUAACUGUGGCGCUGCAUCUGAAACUAUUUUUCUUGAGUGCUGGAGAGGAAAGCGGAAUUCCUAGUGUAGCGGUGAAAUGCGUAGAUAUUAGGAGGAACACCAGUGGCGAAGGCGGCUUUCUGGACAGUAACUGACGCUGAGGCGCGAAAGCGUGGGGAGCAAACAGG